rnacentral:lncRNA from 1 species
GGAAACUGGAUGUUCUCCUAAAACAGCCACCUAGCCAAGCUGAACCAACAGAGAUGUAUUGAUCACCGGGUCAAUGGAACUAGGUGGGUGCUGGGGGGAAAGUCAGCAGGUAAGUCAGGUGAGGACUGCCUCCCUUCCACUCCCCACCCAGAGACUGAAGACAGACAGACAGACAGAGGCGUUCAUUCAGAAAGAAGUAGGAGGGCUUCAGGGAUUCAGCGGAGGAGACUGAAAGCCUGAGAGACGAUGCCUCUGAGAAGGUUACAGACCUUGGGAGAAAGCGCUUUCACCUCCUCACCACAGACACUCUCGACUGUGGACUCAGGACACUAAGCCAGAAAGGUGACGAUUUCCUUCUUGAACCCGGCCUGCAUCAGCAGCUCAGACCCAGGGCUCCGGGUCCUUUGCUCUAUGUCCAGUGCUCUUUUUGCUCCCUCACACACUUAGCGAUGGCAGUGUUCUUAGUAUACUCAAAGAGCUUUGUAAUGAAUUAGAGCAGCCAUUCCCAACCUUCCUAGUGCUGCGGUCCUUUAAUACAGUUUCUUAAGUUGUGGCGAACCAUCCCCCCCACCCCCAACCAUAACAUUAUUCUUGCUGCUGCUGUUAUGAAUCGUAAUGAAACAUUUGAUCUGCAGUACAUCUGAUAUGUGAUUCCCGAGAAAGGGCCAUCAUAUUCCAAGGGAUCGGGACCCACAGCGUGAGAAGCCCUGAACUAGAGAUCCGCCUAAACUGAGAAACAACCUAGCACCUAUCCCAGCCCAUCAAUGUUGUAUAUGGCAACAGAUUCAAAAGCCCAGACUAAAACAUACUCACCAUCCAUGUUACCAGCUCUCACCAUGGGGCAGCAAUGUGGAUUUAGUAAGCAUAGCCCACGGGCACUCAUUUUGAAGACACUAGGAGAACUUCAAAGCCAGGUUUGUUCUUCUGCCUCUGGUGACAUUUUUAAAAUUUCAGCACUGUUUUUUUUUUUAAUUGAUUCUUUGUGAAUUUCAUAUCAUGCACCUCAGUCCUGCACAUCUCCUGUCCCCUCCCUCCCUCCAACCUCCACCCUUCCCCAACAAAGAAAAAUAAGUCCCCACUAUGGAAGCUGUAGUGUGCCAUCGUGUGUCCUUUUGUCCACACUUCUUUGCUUGCAAGUGCUCAUUGCAUUGACUUUGUUGGUCUGGUACGAGUCAGGCCUCUGGCUUCUGCUAUGCUAACGAUGCUAGAACCUUACUGAGACUCCUCUAGGGUAGACUGUUGUCACCCCGUGUGUCAUGGAGACCCUGUAGUUUUGGAUCUGCAGGACUGGCUUCUUCACGUACUCCAGCAGUUCAUUGAUGGGAUAGACGUGGGGUGGGCUAACUCAAAGCCCUGGAUCUGGGCCUGAGAGGUGUCUGAGCUGCUCAGCCCACCAGCUCUCCAGUUCUUGUGGCCUUUGGAUUGGCUCGCCAGCAACCCCCUCUCCCAGGGCUAGCUCUCCUGGCUGACCAGGAACCUGACAAGACUGACUAGCCAUCUCUAGCAUUCAGAUAGGUGGAACUUCAUUGUGCUGAAGUUAUGUUUGAGCACCCUCUGCUGGACAAAUCAGAUGUGAGCGAGCAGUCUCCUUCCUGCUGCUGCAGCUGCAAGCUGCUCCUGCCGCCCAUGCCUUCUCUACUGCCAUGCCUUCCCUACCACAAGGGCCAGAACUCUCACACUGAAAGCCAGAAUAAAUCCUUCCUCUCUUCGGUUGGUUGUUGUCAGGAGAAGGCAGCAGCUGGCAUCAAUGGUGUGGUGAGGAGAGAAUCAAGUUUCCUUCUCCAGUUCAAACAGACGAAAGUGAAGCGACAUAGGCUCAAGGACAGGGUCACUGGGCUAGCGCCACACCAUGGAGCCAAACCCCGAGCCUUCUAAAUUGUGAGCUGGGCAUGGUGGUUCACCCCAGGAAUCGCAGCACUGAGGGAUGAAGGCGAGAGAGUCACUGUGGGUGUGACAUCAGUCUGGCCUGAAGUCUGAGACUGUUUUUUUAAAAAGAAAACAUUUUUUUAUGUCAUAUAUUUAAUUAUAUAAAGAUUCUGUUGUUUUGUUGUUGUUGUUGUUAAAAUUCAGCCAGGAAAUUUCCAUCUGUCUGGUGUUAAUUGGUUGUUUUUCAGCACUAAUUGGGAAAUGAUAUAUUUUUAUUGUUUUAUAAAUAGAGUAAAACCCCUCAGAAACUGCUGGGGAAAUUUAAACAAGGAAAGCAAUUCUAUGUCCUUGCUUGACACCAGUUUGUCCCAGAGGUGACACAACUGUGUAGUUUUUGAAAACACUGGGCAUUUAUAUAUAUAUGAGACAAAACCCCACUGUAUAGCCCUGGCUAACUCGAAACUCACUAUGUAAAUCAGGCUGGGCUUUGACACACAGAGCUCUGCCUUUGCCUACUCAGUGUUGGGAUUUAACACCCACACCACCAUAGCCAGCCUUCUCUCCAAGGGGCAAAUUUCUUUCUGAAGCAACUUCCUCAUUUAUUAACAGUAUUGCUUCCAGACCCCGUGUGUGUGUGUGUGUGUGUGUGUGUGUGUGUGUGUGUGUGUACAGAUAUGUGUUUGCAAGUAUUUAGACACAAGUUGAUGCAGACUACACCAGUUUCAUGAAAUUGUUCCCAUGUCAGUGGCUAGUCUGAGCCUUUUGUACUUGUAAACAGCUGGCUGUAAACUGGGGAUUCCCAUACUCUCCUCUUCAGCCCCAUAAUUAUCAUGGUGAUUUGCAACCUGUAGGUAAUGACCCGUUUGGCUCAUAUAUCAGAUAUUCUGCAUGUCAGAUAUUUAUAUUUUGAUUCAUAACAAUAGUAAAAUUAUAGUUAUGAAGUAGUAAUGUAAAUAGUUACACUGUGGGGGUCACCACAACACGAGGAACUGUGUUAAAUGGCUUCAGCAAUAGGAAGGUUGAGAGCCACUGAUUUAUUAGGUCAUUUCAUGGAUCGUGGGGAUGCUUUCUACUUUCAUCUAUUGUUUAUUACAAAAGAUGUAGACAGACAGAUAGAUAGACAGACUCACAGAUAAAUAGAAAAAUAGAUGACAGAAAGAUAGAAAGUUAGGUAAAAAGAUAAAAAGAUAGGUAGAUGCUAGAAAGAUAGAUAGACUCAAAGACAAAUAGAAAGAUAGAUAAUAGAGAAAGGUGGAAAGAAAAAUAGAUAGAUGAUGGAAAGAUAGGUAGAUAGACUGACAGAAUGA